CUGGGUGGGGCUCAGUGGUAGAGCACUUGCCUAGCACGUGUGAGACCCUGGGUUCCAUCCCAGCACUGAAA
rnacentral:tRNA from 1 species